AGGGUUAUAAUUUAACAAAAUAUUUGAUUUGCAAUCAAAAAAUAUUGAAUUCUAUCAAUUUACCUU
rnacentral:tRNA from 1 species